AUCGCUUUCUCGCCUUUUGGCUAAGAAUCAAAGUGUAGUAUCUGUUCUUAUCAGCUUUAAUAUCGAUACAAUCCCAUGUGGGAUCUACGAUAUUAAACUUAUUUUUGGAAUGGCGAAGUGCUAAGGGGCGGCUCCACCUUUGCCGGGAGUCGUCCCGGGAUUGCGUACCUCCGGGAUUGGUGUGUCUGCU